rnacentral:rRNA from 1 species
CCAGACUCCUACGGGAGGCAGCAGUGGGGGAUAUUGGACAAUGGGGGGAACCCUGAUCCAGCGAUGCCGCGUGAGGGAAGAAGGUUUUCGGAUUGUAAACCUCUGUGGACAGGGACGAUAAUGACGGUACCUGUCAAGAAAGCCACGGCUAACUACGUGCCAGCAGCCGCGGUAAUACGUAGGGAGCAAGCGUUAUCCGGAUUUACUGGGUGUAAAGGGCGCGUAGGCGGGAUGGCAAGUCAGAUGUGAAAUCCAAGGGCUCAACCCUUGAACUGCAUUUGAAACUGUCGUUCUUGAGUACUGGAGAGGUUGACGGAAUUCCUAGUGUAGCGGUGAAAUGCGUAGAUAUUAGGAGGAACACCAGUGGCGAAGGCGGUCAACUGGACAGCAACUGACGCUGAGGCGCGAAAGCGUGGGGAGCAAACAGGAUUAGAUACCCGUGUAU